rnacentral:lncRNA from 1 species
AGGCCAAGUUUCCACACAAUACCAUGGAAGAGGGGAGACUUACAAUCUCACUGACUAGAAAUGCUUAUGCCUUUUAUGUCACAAAUUUAUGUUAAGCAAUCGUAAUGGGACUUAUGUAGAAGUCACAACUAUUUGAGGUCGGGCAAUAAACUUUUGGUGUUAAUGCAUGUUGGAGACAUAGUAUUAUGAACUAUACUCAUUAAACAUACCACACACAAAAAAUAUGCAAAAGGUGUU